AACGAACGCUGGCGGCAGGUCUUAGGCAUGCAAGUCGAACGGACAGACAGAGAGCUUGCUCUCUUGAAGUUAGUGGCGAACGGGUGAGUAACGCGUAAUCAACCUGCCCUUCAGAGGGGGAUAACAACGGGAAACCGUUGCUAAUACCGCGUACGAUUCAUGAACGGCAUCGUUUAUGAAUGAAAGGUGGCCUCUAUGUAUAAGCUAUCGCUGAAGGAGGGGAUUGCGUCUGAUUAGCUAGUUGGAGGGGUAACGGCCCACCAAGGCAAUGAUCAGUAGCCGGUCUGAGAGGAUGAACGGCCACAAUGGGACUGAGACACGGCCCAAACUCCUACGGGAGGCAGCAGUGGGGAAUCGUCCGCAAUGGACGAAAGUCUGACGGAGCAACGCCGCGUGAGCGAUGAAGGUCUUCGGAUUGUAAAGCUCUGUUAAUCGGGACGAAAGAGUUCUGCGUGAAUAAUGCAGAAAAGUGACGGUACCGGAAUAGAAAGCCACGGCUAACUACGUGCCAGCAGCCGCCGUAA
rnacentral:rRNA from 1 species